rnacentral:lncRNA from 1 species
UCUUUUUCACCAGAGGUGGAUCAAAACUUUUGACACCCAACCAUUUUCUCAAUUGUGCAUUAAAUAUGGCCUAGUAUUUUAUAAAAUUAAUUAGGUCCAAUUUUGCAACAAAUAUAUGGUAGGUCCUUCACAAAAAAACUCAUUUCGGGCACUCAGAAAAUGGAAAAUGUAUUUUCCGUGAAAAAAAUGAAAACUCCCUUAGGAAACAUUGUUUGGAAUUCCAAGAUGCACCCUUGUGCACAAUAUGAGAUCAUUUGAACAAACUAUGCCAUGAAUGUGGUCAUAAGAUUGAUCAUUUGGCUUGAAAGCCAUAAUUCUUCACGCAUGAUAGCUCAUUUCUGAGAACAUUUUUUAAAAAUAAUUUCCGUAUUACAAGUUUAUUAUUUUUCCUGCAAACUUGGCCACAUAUAAUUACACAAUGCGAAGGUUUACCAAUUUUUUUUAUUUUUAUGCCCGUUUCAAAAUGCGGUCAAAACGGCGGGAAUGACCGUUCCUAGCUAGUGGUUGAAUCUUGGAAUUUUUUUGGUGUUUCUCUGAUUAAAUAGAUACUUAUGUACCUAUAAAUGAUUUUUGGAAAAAUAAAGAGCAAACUACGAGGUAGCUAUAGUUCAAAUUUGACCCGCUUCCAACUGAAUCGGCGGAAAUUUGUCUUUUUCACCAGAGGUAGAUCAAAACUUUAUACACCCAACUAUUUUGUCAAUUGUGCAUUGAAUAUGUCCUAGUAUUUUAGAAAAUUGAUUUGGUCCAAUUUUGCAACAAAUAUAUGGUAGGUCCUUCACAAAAAAACUCAUUUCAGGCACUCGAAAAAUGGAAAAUGAAUUUUUCGUGCAAAGAAAAUGAAAACUCCCUUAGGCAACAUUGUUUGGAAUUCCAAGAUGCACCCUUGUGCACAAUAUGAGGUCAUUUAAACAAACUAUGCCAUGGAUGUGGCCAUAAGCUUGAUCAUUUGGCUUGAAAGGCAUGAAUCUUCACGCAUGAUAGCUCAUUUCUGAG